CCAAGCCCAGUGUGUGUGGCCCUUCCAAGCCCGGUGUGUGUUGCCUUUCAAGCCAGUGUGUGUUGGCCCGUUUCAAGCCCAGUGUGUGUUGGCCCGUUCCAAGCCCAGUGUGUGUUGGCCCGUUUCAAGCCCAGUGUGUGUUGGCCCGUUUCAAGCCCAGUGUGUGUUGGCCCGUUUCAAGCCCAGUGUGUGUUGGCCCGUUCAAGCCCAGUGUGUGUUGGGCCGUUUUCAAGCCAGUGUGGUUGCCCGUUUCAAGCCCAGUGUGUGUUGGCCCGUUUUCAGCCCGUGUGUGUUGGCCCGUUUCAAGCCCAGUGUGUGUUGGCCCGUUUCAAGCCCAGUGUGUGUGUUGGCCCGUUUCAAGCCCAGUGUGUGUUGGCCCGUUUCAAGCCCAGUGUGUGUUGGCCCGUUUCAAGCCCAAGUGUGUGUUGGCCACGUUUUUCACGCCCGUGUGUGUUGGCCCCGUUUCAAAAGCCCAGGGUGUGUUGGCCCGUUCCAAGCCCAGUGUGUUUGGCCCGUUUCCGCCCAGUGUGUGUUGGCCCGUUCCAAGCCCAGUGUGUGUUGGCCCGUUUCAAGCCCAGUGGUGUGUGUGGUUGGCCCGUUCCAAGCCCAGUGUUGUU
rnacentral:lncRNA from 1 species